rnacentral:rRNA from 1 species
UCGAGCGGUAGCACAGAGAGCUUGCUCUCGGGUGACGAGCGGCGGACGGGUGAGUAAUGUCUGGGAAACUGCCUGAUGGAGGGGGAUAACUACUGGAAACGGUAGCUAAUACCGCAUAACGUCGCAAGACCAAAGUGGGGGACCUUCGGGCCUCAUGCCAUCAGAUGUGCCCAGAUGGGAUUAGCUAGUAGGUGGGGUAACGGCUCACCUAGGCGACGAUCCCUAGCUGGUCUGAGAGGAUGACCAGCCACACUGGAACUGAGACACGGUCCAGACUCCUACGGGAGGCAGCAGUGGGGAAUAUUGCACAAUGGGCGCAAGCCUGAUGCAGCCAUGCCGCGUGUAUGAAGAAGGCCUUCGGGUUGUAAAGUACUUUCAGCGGGGAGGAAGGCGAUAAGGUUAAUAACCUUGUCGAUUGACGUUACCCGCAGAAGAAGCACCGGCUAACUCCGUGCCAGCAGCCGCGGUAAUACGGAGGGUGCAAGCGUUAAUCGGAAUUACUGGGCGUAAAGCGCACGCAGGCGGUCUGUCAAGUCGGAUGUGAAAUCCCCGGGCUCAACCUGGGAACUGCAUUCGAAACUGGCAGGCUAGAGUCUUGUAGAGGGGGGUAGAAUUCCAGGUGUAGCGGUGAAAUGCGUACAGAUCUGGAGGAAUACCGGUGGCGAAUGCGGCCCCCUGGACGCUCACUGACGCUCAGGUGCUAAAGCGUGGGGAGCAUACAGGAGGACAUACUCGGUAGUCCACGCCGUAAACGAUGUCGAUUUGGAGGUUGUGCCCUUGAGGCGUGGCUUCCGGAGCUAACGCGUUAAAUCGACCGCCUGGGGAGUACGGCCGCAAGGUUAAAACUCAAAUGAAUUGACGGGGGCCCGCACAAGCGGUGGAGCAUGUGGUUUAAUUCGAUGCA